CUGCUAACUAAACUUGGACGAGAGAUUAUGACAAAAAACUUUAUCACCAACUUUCAUGAUGAUCCAAUGUUUUGAAAUAUAGAGCAAACAUAAUGUCAGAUGCAAACCACUAACAGCCGCCAUAUUUUUACCCAUAGUAUUUUUAAGGUCACAAUAUACCAAAAGAUUUCCUUAACAAAUUCAAUGUGAAACCGACAACUUCAACGAAAAAUAAAUGUCAAACUUUUGCGCGUAGACACCCCCAUACCCAUACCUUUUCUUAAAGAGCAU